UACGUAGGGGGCAAGCGUUGUCCGGAUUUAUUGGGCGUAAAGAGCGUGUAGGCGGCCAAGCAGGUCCGUUGUGAAAACUGGAGGCUUAACCUCCAGACGUCGACGGAAACCGCGUGGCUAGAGUCCGGAAGAGGAGAGUGGAAUUCCUGGUGUAGCGGUGAAAUGCGCAGAUAUCAGGAAGAACACCCGUGGCUAAGGCGGCUCUCUAGUACGGUACUGACGCUGAGACGCGAAAGCGUGGGGAGCGAACAGG
rnacentral:rRNA from 1 species